UACGGAAGGCAGCAGUGGGGAAUCUUGCGCAAUGGGCGAAAGCCUGACGCAGCCAUGCCGCGUGAAUGAUGAAGGUCUUAGGAUUGUAAAAUUCUUUCACCGGGGACGAUAAUGACGGUACCCGGAGAAGAAGCCCCGGCUAACUUCGUGCCAGCAGCCGCGGUAAUACGAAGGGGGCUAGCGUUGCUCGGAAUUACUGGGCGUAAAGGGCGCGUAGGCGGAUCGUUAAGUCAGAGGUGAAAUCCCAGGGCUCAACCCUGGAACUGCCUUUGAUACUGGCGAUCUUGAGUAUGAGAGAGGUAUGUGGAACUCCGAGUGUAGAGGUGAAAUUCGUAGAUAUUCGGAAGAACACCAGUGGCGAAGGCGACAUACUGGCUCAUUACUGACGCUGAGGCGCGAAAGCGUGGGGAGCAAACAGGGAUUAGAUACCCGU
rnacentral:rRNA from 1 species